CUCCUACAUAAUAGUCAGCUAACGGGAGUAAGUACAUUGUUCGACUUACAUGGGUAUGGAUUUCUUGGCAAAAGUUCAAAUUUGUAGCCUGUCACACAAUAAGUUUAAUUUGGUGGAUUUCUUUAUAUUUGAAUCCAAAUUUGUCGGAUCUAUUUUAAGUUUCACAGGUGAGACGUGGGAGGUGAUGAUGGUGGUGGUGGGAUUAUUUAAGAUUUUAUCUCUAUUUCUUGCAACUUAAAUUCUUGGUCGAAUCUUGCAAAUAUGAACGAUGAAGAUGGCGAAUCCUACACAUGAACAACUGAAUUGUUAUUUUGAUUUUUAUUUGAUUUUUUUUCUUACAAGUUGCUAGUAUUCUUCAGCUUAUGUGUAUGUUAUAGUGCUAGAGCUAUUUUUUCAUUAACAAGCUGCUUGGAUUGUUGACAUUUGAUCUUUUUUGGUUGAGUCCCAGUUGACAAUGGCAAGAAAAUACCUAAGAGUCUAUCAUAGUUGUAGAGAGGAGGGCCAUUUUUUUUGGAGAAUGUCCGAGGAAACGCCCUUGGCCAUGGUGUAAGCAUGCCUUCGUAAAGUGUUUUGAAUUGGAGAAUGAGAGUGACAACAAAGGCAUUCUAUUCAAUUCUUGUAGUGCAACAUGUGAAUAUUGAGAGUGGGUUCAAGCUAUUGAAAUGAGUGGUGAAUCUAGUUCAGCUAAAGAUUUCUCUAGCAUGUUGAAACUCUAUGUCGGUUAACUGAUGAACAAGAAGUGGAGAUUUCUGUGAAAGUGACAAUAUGUAAAGGAAGAGAAAGUUCGAAAGGGGACAAGAAAGGAAAGGGACAUGCUUGAGUUGUAGCUGUUAGUGUACUAAUGUUACUUCAUUUAUGUUGUUUAUGACUUGGUAGUGUGAUUAGGAUGUAAUGGACAAUGAUGUUGCUAUUGUAGUUAUAUUAUCGAU
rnacentral:lncRNA from 1 species